ACAGAUAGAUACUUUAUCCCCAGCGAGGGGUUUAGCUUUGCGGUUAAACAUCGAACCGGAAUUGGUUAUCCCCAACGAAAUCCGAUGACCGAAACACUGGAAUGCGAAUUCCCAAUCUAGCACCACCAAAACGGAAUAAACCUAUGAGCUCCGGUUCCCCUCCCUUCUCUGUAUCUCGCUCACAAACAAACUCUCUCUGUCGAUGAUUUGAAGCUCUGAGCUGCAACCCUAAAAACAAGUACAGGCUCUGGCUAUGCCUGUUUCCUUUUGCUGUGUCCAACUUAUAGAAAUGUAGUUUAUUGUAUUCGGGUUCUUUGAAUUUAGAUUUUUUCAAUUAACCAGAGAGCUAAAUGAAAUGCAUGCUUGGCUUUAGAGAAAUCACAGUAAUGAGUAAGGAUGAGGAUGACUUGGGUAGCCCUCAUGCUGAGGACAUGGAUGUAGGACUCCAAACAUCAGACAAGUUAGACUUAAACCUGGAUCAGGACUGUCUCAGUCCAAAUGUGGCUCAGGUUACUGGAGCUUAAUGCAGUCUCUCCUCCAAAGAUGAUUAAUUACAGCGUUUGAAAGGAUUGGAUAAACAGGAGUAAGGUUCAUGGUCUAGUGGUCUCCAUAAAGUUUACUUGCUCUAAGGAAGCGUAUCACCGGAAAGACAAGAGAGAUGCUAAUGUGAAGAAGCACAGAAAGGAAAGAAGAACUGAUUGCUUGGCGCACAUGAUCAUUACUCAUCAACCUGAUGGUAAAUUCCGGGUUACUCAUUUUGAAGCAGAACACAAUCAUGACAAUAUAAACCUUUGAUUAUUAACAUUACCAUUUCAGAAGGAAUUAUGUGUUGAAGCUGCUGAAGCUGACUUGCCCAAUAAUUUGGGAACAGAGUCAUAUUCUGCCUUCGAGUUAAUGAAUAGACGAGUUGAAGUAGGUGAGUAUAUGGCAAUGGAUUUCAACAAUUACCUACAAUCCGAAAGGAUGAGCUGAUGAGAGAUAUGGAAAGGGAAGAAGGAGGACACUUACUGCUAUAUUUUCAAAGGCAGCAUUUUGAAAACCCAACAUUCUUUCAUGCGAUACAGGUUGAUAUAGAUGACAAAAUAAGCAACAUUUUUUGGGUUGUUGAUAAAAUGCUAGUGGACUACGACCAUUUUGGACUUCGGUGAUGUCAUUUGUUUGGACACAACUUACCAAACAAAUAAAGAUAUUCAGCCAUUUGUACAGAUUAUAGGAGUGAAUCAUCACAAUGAAGCUAUAAUUUUUGCCGCUGCAUUUUUGUUUGAUGACACUGUUGAAUCUCUUAAGUGGCUAUUUAGUUCCUUUGUCGAGGAAAUGUCUAGAAAGAAGCCAAAAGUUAUUCUCACUGAUCAGGUUGCGGCAAUUGUUGAAGCAAUUAAAUCUGUCUUGCCAGAAACAAGCCAUUGUAUCUGCGUUUGGCAGAUGUACCAGAAUGCUCUUAACCAACUUAGCCAUGCAUUGAAGGAUACUGAACUUUUUCCAACGAUUUUAGAAGUUGUAUCUAUGAUCACAGUGAUGAGGAGGAUUUCAUUCAUGCCUGAGAGGCUUUGCUGAAUAAAUAUGGCCUUCAACAAAAUGAGUGGUUAAGAUGGAUGUUUAGAGAAAGAGAUAAAUGGGCUGUCGUAUAUGGCAGGAAUAUAUUUUUUUUAUCAAUGCCAAAGGCUUUCAUGUGGCUGAAGAUUUACAUAACAACUUGAGAAGUAACUUAAACUCUGAUCUAGAUGCACUCCAUUUUUUCAAGAUUUUUGAGAGGAUGGUAGAUCAGCAACACAAAGAAAUACAAGCUAAUGAUGAGCUGACUAGAUGCAUGCCAAGGUUAAUGGGGAAUGUAGUUUUGCUAAAGCAUGCAAGUGAUAUUUACACGCCAAAUGCAUUUGAAAUAUUUCAGAGAGAAUAUGAGAAGUGUUUAAAUUUUGUUGUUAGCCAGUGCAGUGAGAGUGGCCUUUCGCUUGAAAACAUUUGGGCGAAGUAGAGAAUUUUCUGUCACAUUCAAUCCAUCAGAUGAUACAGUCAUUUGCAGUUGUAUGAAAUUUGAAAAUGUAGGAUUUCUGUGCGGCCAUGCCCUGAAAGUACUUGAUAAUAAGAAUAUAAAGGUGGUUCCCUCCCAAUAUAUAUGAAGAGAUGGACAAAAGAUGCAAGGAUUGGAGGUAUGCAAGAAAGCAAAGAGUUCAUUGCACAAGAACAACCCAAGUUGGUUGCAGCUAGCAGGUACAAAUCUUUGUGCGACAGAAUGCUUAAAAUUGUAGCCAGAGCCACUGAAUAGGGAAAGCAUUUCAGUUCGCUUCAAGACAACUCAAUGAAGUGAUUGAAGAAGUGGAGAAGAUUUUGACGUUAAAACCUGAGGCGGCUCAUGGCAUCACCUCAAGUAGCAUUGCUGCAAAUGGCUCUGAGAGUGAAAAUGCGGAGAUAUUCUUGGAUGAGCGAGCAGCUGCGGAUUAGGAUGAGGACAACAGACUAGCAGGAAUAAAAGACGAGGGUGCUGCCCCUGAUGGCUACCUACUGAAAUAUAUGAAAGAAAAAGACCCUAAGAAAAAAGGAUAUCCGAGUGCACUACAACCCGCCGUGGCACCCCAUUUACAGUUAAUUUUGUUUCAAGUCCCCCACAAGCACAACCACAAGCAUGUGUUUCAACAGAAGCCCCAACAUCAAAUCCUUUGCUGAAGGGUUUGUAUAAUUUUGAGUCUAAUCAGGAGGUUCAGUGCAUGUACCAACAGCAGAAUCCAGUCAUAAGCAAUCAAGACAAUCCUAAUCUAUACCAGCAAUCAAACUUUUACUCUGACCAGCAUGAAUUACCUCACCAAACUCCAUUACUUCAGGUAUGUUUGAUUUAUAAAUUCUUUGUCAUGGGUGAACCCUUAAUCUGUAGCACAUUCCACGCGUCCCAUGCAGAAGAAUGCUCAGUCGAGAUUGGUGAUGGAUACUAGACUUUAAAAAAUGGAUUUGAGUUGGAAUGUUAGUUUUCCUACCUAAUUUCUGAGAUUGAACUUAUUUCUUGUGCUGGUCAUUCUGCUUUUUAUUUAUUUAUUUAUCUAUUUGUAGGCAGUGGAUUUCGAUCCCCAACGUCCACAAACAUCUUCAUUCAUUUUGUAUGAUCAAAAGAUACAGAGUUUCAAGCACAUCUUACCUUUGAUCCAAGUAAAGAUGAGGAAUAUGGCUUGACAUUCUUUGUCCCUUCUCAAAUGUUAUUCUGCAGCUGUACUUUUUUUUUUUUUUUUUAAUCUUGUGAGUGAGUUUUAUUAUUAUAAUGUUUCCUCCUGUAUAGUCUUGCUUAUCACUGUAUAGUCUUACUUAUCUUCCUCUCCUGUAUUAAUUGCUCAAUAGAAAACCAUCUUUUUCUCUA